rnacentral:rRNA from 1 species
ACUCCUACGGGAGGCAGCAGUAGGGAAUCUUCCACAAUGGACGAAAGUACUGAUGGAGCAACGCCGCGUGAGUGAAGAAGGGUUUCGGCUCGUAAAACUCUGUUGUUAAAGAAAGAACAUAUCUGAGAGUAACUGUUCAGGCAUUGACGGUAUUUAACCAGAAAGCCACGGCUAACUACGUGCCAGCAGCCGCGGUAAUACGUAGGUGGCAAGCGUUGUCCGGAUUUAUUGGGCGUAAAGCGAGCGCAGGCGGUUUUUAAGUUCUGAUGUGAAAGCCUUCGGCUCAACCGAAGAAGUGCAUCGGAAACUGGGAAACUUGAGUGCAGAAGAGGACAGUGGAACUCCAUGUGUAGCGGUGAAAUGCGUAGAUAUAUGGAAGAACACCAGU